AACAGACUGAUCUGCACAGUCUGCGUGCUUGUUCCGAGCUAACAGCUGUUAUGGACUUGAAAAUCCCGUGUGGGGCUGGAAGGACUGACUCCUAACAGUGGGAGUUGGGGUUGACGUGGUCUAUGGAAAGGCCCUGCUCAGCCCGGGACUCAUACAUGAUGGAGCCGUCAGGUCUGCUCACCACCCGGCCUUUCCGGCCAGUCAUCUACAUGGCCCGCCAGGGAAGAAACAGGUCAUUAAUGAGACAGACAGACAGAGUGGGGGCGCAAGGGUGAAAUGGAGCAUUUGGGAAGUAAAUGUAAAGGCAGACACCUGGGCAGAGGUCUAUACUGGCCAGACCUGGAGCAAUAAACUGCUUCCAGAGGGAAUUUUUGCCCUGGAGACUAUAUUUUACAAUUAGGGAAACUGAGGCAGUGAAGUAACUAGUCCAAGAUCACAGUAAGGAAGUGCCAAGAGCACAGUAAAUAAGAGGUAGGAACGUCCAGCCAGUCCUGGGUUGGAAAGAAGGGGGUUACAACCCAGGGCCUCAAGAUGAGGAAGAUAAUGCAAAAAGCAUAAAUGGGGGGAUCCCUCAGGGAGCUCCUGCUACUUCGCAAUCACACACUGGAUAGGUACGGUCAGGAACUAAGGCCAUGUGUACACUAGAGACCUUAUAGCACCACAGCUGUACCAAUGCAGCUUCGUUGCUGUAAGAUCUCCCAUGAAGCCGCCCUACACCGACAGGAGAGAACUCUCCUGUCGACAUAAUUUAACCACCUUCAACGAGCGGCCGCAGCUAUGUCGGCAGGAGAGCUGUGGACACCAGCGCUUCUGUCGGCGAAACUGAUGUCACUCAAAUGGGUGUUUUUUUCCACACCCGAGUGACGUAAGUUUUGCCAACGUAAAUAGUAGUGUGAACAUGGCCUUAGUCUACAGGAGCGCCAAUGUUACCCAGUGGCUGCCCGCUCAUAUGUGAACCACAGAGCCCAGAUGUGCCGGUGGGGCUGGGAGUCCAACUCAAUCUCUCCAAGGGCUGGCAUUACAGUACCCUCUAGUGGUUAGAGCCACAAACAGCAGGUUGAGCUGCGGAGCCCAAUGCCAGAUGACCAUAAUAUGACAUACCUCUGCCACAUACUCCGGGCCCCCAAAGUGAUUAAUCAGCUCAUCCAAGGUAUUGAGAGGUAGCUCUUUGCCCAGUGCUUUUACUUUUGAUAGGAGGUCCUGUUUCAUUUUCUCCACGUGUUCUAGGACUCCCGGGCCAUGCACAUCCUUCUGGGACCCUGGAAAGUGCAAACUGCCUGCAAUGUGGAAAGGCAGGUUCUUAGAGUCCAGCCAGGGGAUGGCAAGGAACUCAACAGCCACAGAGCUCAGGACCAGCGUGAAGAAGAACCGUAGAGUGACCCUGAUUGAAGCUCAAGAGGGGAGGGGUCUGAUUGACAGAGCAAGGACUGCUGCUGGAUGUGUGUUGUGGAGUGUGCAGGACAGAUUUCUCAUGCCAGCUGGUAUUCCACACUCCAUCCCACCUCCCAAGUCUGACCACAACUAGGUAUAAACCAGCUACAAGCCAAUCGUUCUAUUAUACAAACGUCAGUUUGCUCCUAACGCGGGAAUCGGGGCUCCCCCACUUGGGUAGUGCAGGAUAGCCAAGCAAGUCUGCAUUAGCCUGAAACAACAUGGAGGGUAGGAAGUCUCCAGGUAUCAUUUCCUCAACCUCCCUAAAGAGACACAAGGAACGGCUCUGAGCUGGUGGGUGCAACAGCCGGCCAAUCCCUGCCAAAGAAGCAUGGCCACUCCCACAUAUAACAGGACCCUCACUGUCCCCGGGGAGACACCAGGAGAGGCGGCGCCUCUGUAUCAGAACUUCAGCGCCGCUGUCCCACGUAGGAUGCUAAGCAAAGCUAGGGUCAGAUCCAUUCGGAAUGUUAUUCUGCACAUGUACGGGACCAGGAUAAGCCCAGACACUUGUCCCCUGACCUUCCGCAAAUGCCUGGCUUGUCCCUGGCCUGGGAAGGGAUUAACCCCAGCUUACCUCUGUCUUCGGAUGCGAAGCCAUUGUAGGUGUGUUCAACAAAGAUGACAUCAUCAUUGUCAAACAGGGACUCCGGGGAGGAGUUGAAGUCGCUGUCUAGCCCCACCUCCGAAUCAGUGCUGCUGUCGUCGCUGAUCUUGAUCACACCUGCCAUGGCCAUGUCGUACAUGCCUUUCAGGACCUUCGCACAGCGGCCUUUCUGCUUCCCUGUGAGGGAGAGUGAGCCACAUCAGUGGGGGGGGGGGAGGGGAGGGAAGAGUGCCCACGGGGCAGGUCAGCACAGAACAGCAAGCACUGGCUCAGAGAAUGGAGGAUAGGUAACAGGGGAGCUGAGGUUGCCCCAAGCGAAAGGCAGAUCAGAGAGGCAGACGUCUGGGCAUGGGGGAAAAAAGAGAGAGAGGAAGAACGAGCCAGUCUUUUACCAGGGCUGAAGACGGCCACAUGGCAAUGUGCAAACUGCACCUUGCUCUCACCUGGCCGUGCAGCUACUUUCCUCUUCUCCCCUUGUGGGGAAAGAACCCACAGGCUCAGCUAUCCCUAAAGGAAAAUCUUUAGGCAAAGAGAGGGGCUGGUGCAUUAGUGUUUCAGGAAGGAAAACCAGUCGCAUCAGGACUGAAUUCCCAGCACAGUGAAAAUGCCCCAGCCACGCAAGGUGUGACAGAUCCGUUUGUCUCAGCUGGCAAAGAACCCCAGCAGUUUGCCAGGGCAAUCUCUGUAAAUCGGCCUUUACCACUCUCUCCUCUUCCCCCUUUUGCCAUAUCCCACUUCCCGGGUAUAACCAUGAGCAUGAGAGCUAGGGUCCAACCUGCUUGCAAAGGAACCCAGCACAGAGGGAACACAGGUUGUACAGGAGACAGUUCUUACCUGCAGCUGCAGCCAGGAAUAGGGUAGAUAACUGAGUAUUUUCCAGGGCACCUGCCACCCUAUAUGUAAGGGGUAGAGGAGAAAAAACCCCUUGCUGCAAGAGGGCCUCAGAUAUACAGCUGGGAGUCCAGCAAAAUCUGCCUGUCAGUCUAGCAGUCUGCAUUGCAGGGGGAAAGGGGCAUGGCUACUGGGCAAUCCCAGGGGCUAGGAAGUGGUUUGGUGGAAGGAAGGUGAGUUGUGGGGGAAAAAGAUGACAUGGAAAGCUACAACUAGCGACAUGCCUAGGGUGAGAGACUGUAGCAAGGGAUCUAAGGGAGGGCAAACCCAAACCCAGGCAAAGCAUGAAGUGGGGAAGGGAAAAGGAGACGAAAAGGCUGAGUAGCUGGGGCGAGGCGGAAAGGCAGGAGAUCAGACGUUGGGCGGUGGAAGGUGGUCUUACGUUUUCUUUUAAUGCCAGUUCCUUUUUCUCUCUUUCUUUUGGUUGAAGGAAAGUGCUUCUGAAUUAGUGAUAGAAAGACGCCUCUGAAAGUAAGAUGCAAAAUUUAUUCUAGCUACCAGGAGUAGGAACAUCUACUGGUUAUAAUGUAUCAAUGGGUAUUUAGGAGAUCGAUAUAUUUAAUGAGAAAAUGGGCUAAACCAAGCAUUCUCUAACUGUUAGUGAGUCUGAACAAUUAUCGAUUAGUACAGCUUGGAUCUGAGGAAUCACAUCAGCUCGAAUGGAGAGGAGGAGGAGGCUGGCUGCAGCAUUUCACCAGAGCGUUCUGAUGGAAAACUGUGCGGGUAAAGCAAGAGAGUUUGGCUCACUCAGCAGGACCUCAGCCUAACAGGGUGCACAUUGAACGAAUGCUGUGUGUUGCUGCACAUGUGGAGAAAUGCUCUCUGCUUUAGACUGCCUGCUACUCCUGCUGAAUGUAGGCAGUGCAGCAGUGCCAGGGCACUGUUGCAAUAGAAACACAAAAUGCCACAGGCAUAGCACUGCUAUGGGACCAGCCAAAACAGCACAAACGUCUGAGAGCAACUGAGAGCAAGGUUUAAGUGCAACGCUCUCUAUGUUUGGAAGUUGUUACUGCAAAACCCAGUACGUUCCAACAGCCAACAUCUUCUCUGGGUGUUAUGUGGCCUAGUGGUUCCAACCCUGUGCCGUGUAACUGACCUGCCUGAAAUGGCGAAGACUCUGGGUCCCAGUUUUCUAAGGGAAUGUGCUUUGAUUAACCUAAGGCGGAAGUGCUUGCCCACAAGGCAAAGGCCAGUGACAAAACAUGGAACACACUGGGGGUCUAGGUGGAUGGAAAAAUCAGAAGAGGUGGAAAUCAAAUGGAUGCUUUGGUGGGCUGUACUGCAAACGAAAGAGUAAAUGCUUCAAUGCUGGCUGGAUUGGGAGGGACUGGGCCAUGUGCAAUGAAAAGGCAGCGCUGAAUGAACUUGGGCUGAAACAAAUGUUGAAAGCAACAGCUGAGAGGUAUGGGCAUGAUUCCCACCUGCUGUGAGACAGGGGUACUUGGGGAAUAGAGGAGGGGCUCUCAGACCAGACUGGUCCACCAGGAACGGUGCUACAGGGACAGAGAGACACCACCAGACCCUGGAGGAACAGAGGAGGUAGGAACAAUUGCUAUUAUGUGGUACUGGAAAGGCCCUUUGCCCUCAGUGCCGGGCUGACUCUGGGUACAGAGCUGAGACCCAGAGAAGGCUGAGAGUCACUUUGGUUCCUUCAAGCCAGGAUUCAGGUUCUGAGUUUCCUCGCCAUGAAAUCCAGCUUGCUAUUCUUCUGACCAUCUGUGUUUUCUCCUUCUCCUCCACUGGAAUCCCCAUUAACAAAGUUUUAUAGACUCCCCUGCACAAACAGCAAGCAGCCCUUCCCUUCUUGUUUUGUCAGCAACUGCUCCUUUGCAAACACACUCCUCUAAGAAUACCCGCCUACCGCUGAAGGGCUUCAGAACCAGGGAGUUGCAAUCGGACACUGUGAAGCAGGCACAUUAGGAGAUGGUACUGCGCAGCAAGUAAACGUCUGCCCCGCAGGAGGGGGACGGAGCUAGACAGCACAAGUGGUCACUAACAGCACCACCUUUGAACAAGGAGUCAGAGGAGACCAUUAUGAUCCUCUACUACGACCUCUUCUGGCCUGUGUUACGCAGAUAUCCAACUCAAGUGAGAAAUCAACUUAGCUGCUGGAGUUUGACUUGCUUCAAUUCUACAGCAGUUAACAAGCGAGUAUUUGCUCUGGGGGAGUGGGGUGGAAUAGGCCAAAACUGAGAUAUCCUGGAGGAGCAGGGAUGUUUGGCACUUCGAUAGCUCACACCAAGUCUAGCUCACUCCAGUUGUUUUUAUCAGCAAUAAAAACUGAUGCAAACAAAAAUAAUCUAACACCAGCCAUGCUGAUUGCACAGGCCCUAAAGAAACGUAACUCACCUGGGUCUUAUCCCAGUCAGGCAGUUUGGCUUCCUGCCACCUGAUGUGCAGGGGCAGCUAGGUUCAUGGAAUACGGGAUAAUCUUCAAAAGCACCUAAGUGAGUUAGGUGCCUAAGUCUCAUUGAAAGCCAAGGAUUUAGGCUCCUACAGUGCCCACGAUACUUUGAAAAAUGGGACUCAGUGCUUUUUAAGAUGUUCCCCAUCGUCCACAGCUGACUGUGCACUGGGUACAAUCAGCUCUCAAAUUAACUGAGGCAGAAAUACAUAAAUCAAACCACCACAAACUAGUGCGUUACUGGGAGAAGGCAAUCUAAUGCUAUGUUCUGCUUUGGACUGAUAUUGAAAGACAAAAUUCUUGAAACCAGGAUUUUUGGUGGGACAAAAAGAGAUAGUCCAAAAUCCAGGGAUGCCAUCUCACCUUACAGCAUGUUUGUAAGGUCUCAAGAUCUGUCUCUGAAUCAUAUUAUUGCUCACUUAUUUUUAAUCCUACUUUUCACA